UGGGAAGGGGUCUGUCAGACAACCGUGUGACCACCCCAGCCAGCUGAAGAGAUGGCUGAGAACGAUCAUCUACUGCUUGAAUGAUCCGAGGGUCACAAGGCUGUUAAUCACGCUCUGAUCACACGGUCAUGGUUCAUCCACCAGACUGAGGUUCCUGUCUCCUUAGAAAUCAAGGAUACAGAGGUACAACCUAUAGAACAGAUCCUGUUCAAGUAAGGUCGUGAGCUGUGAGUACGGAAAAGACCAUAUAAAGGCUAUUGUCGUUUUAUGCAGCGUCGAUGUGGGACUAAUGUUGUUGUGCUUUGUGCAUUUUGCAGCUCACAAAUAUCUGCCGAGGUUUUGCCUUCAAUUCAACCACAUUGAAGACAACUACUGUAAAAAGUAAAGAAUUCCAAUUCAGAAAGAGUAUAUACCUUUAUUAAUAGGUGGCUCGAAGCUGUAUGAACAUCUAAUUGGCUGAAAAAGCAACCCUGCCAACAAAAUCAAAGAGUUUAAACAAAAUUGAAAGAGGCCUAAGCCUUAUGGGUCACCGUGUAGUUGUACAGCUUGUAGGGUUGCGUAGGAUUUUGAUUUUAACAUUUGUUCGGUUAAAACAUAUAAAUUGCAAUGAGUGAACAAGGAGGAGCACUCACAAGGUGGACGCGAAUAUUGUUCGUUAUUAUUAUCCUUUGAUAAAUAUGUAUUUACUUGGAAUUAGUUGGACUGACUUCUCUACGUUUACUGACACAUAUGAAAUAAAAAAGAUUAUAUAUGCGAGUACGUAUAGUUGAUUCUAUCCUCAUUCAUUCUCUUCCUUAUUUAUGUCUUCAUGGAUUCUCUUCCUUAUUUAUAUCUUCUCAAGCUUCAAGGGUUGAUUAAAAAUUACAAACCAAAAGUAUCUGAUUAAAAAAAAAAAAAAAAAGCAUGAACAGCAACUACACUACAUAUAUAUGUAGUGUGAGUUUAUAUGAGUUUCGAUUGUUUGGUAUCAAAUUCUUCAUUUAAGAGAGUCAAAUCUAAGACCUCUUACGUAUUUAAGAUUGCGGGAAAAGAUCACUAGAUGAUUGUACUAAUCGCGAGAGACGAGCACAAUGAGAUGCAUGUGGGCUUAAGACGUAUUCAGUUGGGUGUGAGUCUUAAGAUAUGUGUUUUUGUGGCACGCCAGCACAAAGGCUUGCUUGCUAGCUUCAGGAUCUGCGUAUGGAAAAGUGUUUGCCUUUACUAAAGGUCCAAUUUAUUUCUGAGAACAUUGAACCAUAAAAAACAGAGGUUAACUAUUAAGUACUAUUGAGAAGCAACCUAAUAGCGCACCGGACGACUGAGUAGGAGGUCUUAUUAUCAUAAAAAACUGUCUCAAGGGUAGCAUAACCCCUUGCAUAUCUGAAUGAUGCAGUGCCUGAAACCACUGAGACCUCUUUAACCCUCUCAAACUGGCGGCUGGUGCCUUGUAGCUCAAGGCUGCUGCCAUCGUACCUAUUGGUGAAUGCAAGUGACAUUGACACAUGCACAUUGGAGCCAGAAAAGGACGAAGCAACUAGAAUGCCUUGAGCUCGACCUACUUGGGUCGAUCUCUUAUCGGGAGUUUCGGUGAUGGGAUCGUCAAUGGCGAAAAUGGUGCCGAAUGAGGUGAAAGACUGAGGCUUGCCUUGGAUGCCUGUGAUAGGGACAACAGUUGCAUUGGGUCCUGACGCCAAGUCUUGCAAGUAAAACACUAUGGUGGUUUCUCUAGGACUUUGAGCUUUGGAAAGAGACAUGAGCAUGGCUAGAAGCAAUGUUGACAAAACCGACAUGAGUUUGGAGGGUCUUGAAAAGGAACUUAAUGCCAUUAGUGAAAAUAACAACAAAUUGAGCAGCAGAAGAAUUUGAGUGAAUAUUGGAAUUUUCUUUUUGCAACUGGGUUUGUUCAUGCAAUGGUUCCAAUUUAUGGAGAGAUGGAGACGGUUAAAGUUGUCAAUUUUCUGCUAGAAAAUAGACGUUAUGUAAGUUAUGAACACAAGAUUCUUGUUAUUUUGGGACGUUUAAAAAGUAGUGACGGCCUGAUGGGUAUCUCAUGUGAGACUGCUGAACAUAGAGCAUGCCUGUGGAGGUUCAAAUUUAGGUUUAAAAUUCAAGCAUAGAGAAGACCAAAAUCAUACAUAUACGUAUACGUGAAUCCAAGAAAAUGCAACGCAACAGUACAUAUAGGUUUCGUUUAAUGUCUAGGAUUGGCUUGGAUUGAAUAAACUUUAAUUAAAUGCACGUUGAGCAAAAACGUGGAUGUCAACUUGCAUAUAUAUAGGUUGUCCAAUUAGUUUUCUUCAUGAAAAUUAUCUACCUUCAAUUAGGGUUUGAGCGGUCAUAUCACAAAUCGAUUAAAAUGGAAAGGAAGGCACAUAUAAGCGUUAUAUUAUAUAUCAUUUCAACUUUCAUAACCUACAUAAGUAAAAAUAAACACCUUUAUGUCACUCUUUCAUGGAUAUUGGAUAUGCCGGUACUGUUCACUUUUAAUAAAAAAUCACAUUUUUACCUUUAUUUGUCAUUUUUCAUUAAAACUAAAGUUUUUUUUUGGACUUUCGUUAGUUUUCCUCUCUUUUUUGUGUGUGAUAGAAGACUAAGGGUGCGUUUGUUGCACCGGACUAACUCGGACUAAGCUGGACUAGCUUAGACUAGACUAAGUUGGACUGGCUUAAAAUAGACUUAGCUGGACUGGCUUAGACUAUACUGAGCUGGACUGACUUAGUGAAGCGUUUGGUACAAUGUCGGACUAAAAAGAAGGAUAAUAACAAAUUACAAUAUUAUAUUUUUUAAUUCAUAUCUAAUAAUAUUAUAUUAAUUAAUUCUAUCUUUUUUUAUUCUAAUAAAACUCUCCCUCUUUAUCUCCCUCGUUCUCUCAGUCCCAUGCUCUCUUUCGCUUCCCUCUUUUUUCCGAUUAAUUGCCAAAUUUUUUUUUGCAAAACAAAGAAUCGAGCUUGGUUUUUCAGGUUUUUGUUUGGUGCAAGAUUCCAACUGGAGAGAGCUUUCCAAGUCCGUGGAGCGGCGGAACCGACCUGCAGUGAUGCCUGGCGAGUUGAUCGGCGACGAGUCGGGGUUUGUGAAGUCGGGGAAGUGAGAGACGGUGAUGGCUUGGAUUUCUUGAAUUCGUUUCCAUCAAACCCAAUAUUGCAGAUUUAGAGAUCUUUUGAGAUGGAGAAGAGGGAGGAGGAGAGAGAGUGAGUCAGAGAAAGGGAAGGCAAGUAGUUGCUCAAGCCUGGGGCGAAGCGAAGCAACAUGAAUGUUUAAGUGUAUUAUUGAAAAUAUGUCUAAAUAAAGUGUAUCAAAUGUAAAAAAUGUGCAAGUACGUGUAUAACGUCAGAAUUUUAAAACAUGUGCAAUUUAAUAAAACAAUAAGACGUGUAUGAAAAACAUAAGUAUUUGAAAAAUACUUAUGUAUGUGUAAAAUACGGGUCUUAUACGCGAAUUUACUAACCAUGCGUGUGAGUAUUGAAAUUAUUUUGAUUUUUAAUUUUAUGUGUUAAUUUCAAUUUUUAAAGUACUGUUAUCGACACUCCAAAAUAGUUAAGUUGUACUACUUUCAUGAAAAAAUUUGCAUAAAAAAAAAAACACAUUAAAGAACUGCAUAAUGAUUUUUUUAGGGGCAGAACCACUCCCUAAAUUUAAUCAAUUUAUGAUUCACCAAUGACAAGUUUUGAUGUGGUAAGUAUAAUCCAUCAAAUUGUGUUGAGUUUUAAAGUACAAUAGGUAUUUAUCUUUUAAUUCACAUAAAUGACAAAGACACAUAUAUGAUGAGUUUAAUUCUAAAUUGUGUAAUUUUGAAAAAAAUAGGUUUUUAUAACCAAUGGGCUUUGAAAUGUACCAAAAUCUUUAUUUUGAUCUUUUAAUUUCAAAAUGAAUCCAUAUCGCUCUUAAAAUUAAGCACCACACAUCAAUUGAGUUCUUUCCAUUAAUUUCUAUCAAGUGUUACGUAAAUUUAGUGACUAGGCACACAUGUACGGCCUACAAGUCCAAAAUAUGUUAUUAUCGAUUUUCGGAAAACAUUUGUGAUAAAAACCGUUGAAAAAGGGAAAACAAAAUUCAUGAACGAUGAUAUCAUGAUAUUGAUGGAAACCUUGAGACUUUCAUGGUCCUGUAAGCCAAACAUACUCCACCAAAAUUAUAAAAUCCCAAUUGGACACUAGGAAAAAACAAAAACAAAAUAAAUAAAAAAGAGUUGGGAAAACAUUUGUGAUAAAAACCGUUGAAAAAGGGAAAACAAAAUUCAUGAACGAUGAUAUCAUGAUAUUGAUGGAAGCCUUGAGACUUUCAUGGUCCUGUAAGCCAAACAUACUCCACCAAAAUUAUAAAAUCCCAAUUGGACACUAGGAAAAAACAAAAACAAAAUAAAUAAAAAAGAGUUGGGAAGGUCUGUCAGACAACCGUGUGACCACCCCAGCCAGCUGAAGAGAUGGCUGAGAACGAUCAUCUACUGCCUGAAUGAUCCGAGGGUCACAAGGCUGUUAAUCACGCUCUGAUCACACGGUCAUAGUUCAUCCACCAGACUGAGGUUCCUGUCUCCUUAGAAAUCAAGGAUACAGAGGUACAACCUAUAGAACAGAUCCUGUUCAAGUAAGGUCGUG
rnacentral:lncRNA from 1 species